CCGCACGAGCGCAACCCUUGCUGUCAGUUGCCAACGGUCCGGCCGGGCACUCUGACGGGACUGCCGGCGACAAGUCGGAGGAAGGCGGGGACGACGUCAAAUCAUCAUGCCCCUUAUGACCUGGGCUACACACGUACUACAAUGGCGUAUACAACGGGAAGCGAAAUGGUGACAUGGAGCAAAUCUCACAAAGUACGUCUCAGUUCGGAUUGAAGUCCGCAACUCGACUUCAUGAAGUCGGAAUCGCUAGUAAUCGCGGAUCAGCAUGCCGCGGUGAAUACGUUCUCGGGCCUU
rnacentral:rRNA from 1 species